rnacentral:rRNA from 1 species
UACAGAGGUCCCAAGCGUUGUUCGGAUUCAUUGGGCGUAAAGGGUGUGUAGGUGGCGCCGUAAGUCGGGUGUGAAAUUUCGGAGCUUAACUCCGAAACUGCAUUCGAUACUGCGGUGCUUGAGGACUGGAGAGGAGACUGGAAUUCAUGGUGUAGCAGUGAAAUGCGUAGAGAUCAUGAGGAAGACCAGUGGCGAAGGCGGGUCUCUGGACAGUUCCUGACACUGAGGCGCGACAGCGUGGGGAGCAAACAGG